rnacentral:rRNA from 1 species
UACAGAGGUCUCGAGCGUUAGGCGGAAUCACUGGGCUUAAAGCGUGUGUAGGCGGAUCGGUAAGUACCUUGUGAAAUCCCACAGCUUAACUGUGGAACUGCUUGGUAUACUGCCAGUCUUGAGCCACUUAGGGGCUACCGGAACAAAUGGUGGAGCGGUGAAAUGCGUAGAUAUCUGGAGGAACACCGGUGGCGAAGGCGGCAUCCUGGACCAAUUCUGACACUGAGGAGCGAAAGCCAGGGGAGCAAACGGG